UUCCUGUCGGCGACCGGCGCACGGGUGAGUAACGCGUAUCCAACUCCCUUAGUAGGGCAUAGCCGGCGAAAGUCGGAUUAAUACCCUAUGUUAUUCGUAGAGGACAUCUGAAAUGAAUCAAAGGUUUACCGCUAAGGGAUGGGGAUGCGUCUGAUUAGGUAGUCGGCGGGGUAACGGCCCACCGAGCCUGCGAUCAGUAGGGGUCUGAGAGGAAGGUCCCCACAUUGGAACUGAGACACGGUCCAAACUCCUACGGGAGGCAGCAGUGAGGAAUAUUGGUCAAUGGGCGCGAGCCUGAACCAGCCAAGUAGCGUGCAAGGAUGACGGCCCUAUGGGUUGUAAACUGCUUUUAUGCGGGGAUAAAGUGCACCACGUGUGGUGUUUUGUAGGUACCGCAUGAAUAAGGACCGGCUAAUUCCGUGCCAGCAGCUGC
rnacentral:rRNA from 1 species